rnacentral:rRNA from 1 species
GGGCCCGCACAAGCGGUGGAGUAUGUGGUUUAAUUCGAUGCAACGCGAAGAACCUUACCAACACUUGACAUGUUCGUCGCGACUUUAAGAGAUUAAAGUUUUCGGUUCGGCCGGACGAAACACAGGUGCUGCAUGGCUGUCGUCAGCUCGUGUCGUGAGAUGUUGGGUUAAGUCCCGCAACGAGCGCAACCCUCACUUUUAGUUGCCAUCAUUAAGUUGGGCACUCUGAAAGAACUGCCAGUGAUAAGCUGGAGGAAGGUGGGGAUGACGUCAAGUCCUCAUGGCCCUUACGUGUUGGGCUACACACGUGCUACAAUGGUAUCUACAACAGGAAGCAAGACUGCGAAGUUAAG